rnacentral:rRNA from 1 species
CCAGACUCCUACGGGAGGCAGCAGUGAGGAAUAUUGGUCAAUGGGCGCGAGCCUGAACCAGCCAAGUCGCGUGAGGGAUGACGGCCCUACGGGUUGUAAACCUCUUUUGUCGGGGAGCAAAUUCCGUUACGUGUAACGGAGUCGAGAGUACCCGAAGAAAAAGCAUCGGCUAACUCCGUGCCAGCAGCCGCGGUAAUACGGAGGAUGCGAGCGUUAUCCGGAUUUAUUGGGUUUAAAGGGUGCGUAGGCGGAAUGCCAAGUCAGCGGUAAAAUCGCGGGGCUCAACCUCGCUCCGCCGUUGAAACUGGCGUUCUUGAGUGGGCGAGAAGUAUGCGGAAUGCGUGGUGUAGCGGUGAAAUGCAUAGAUAUCGCGCAGAACUCCGAUUGCGAAGGCAGCGUACCGGCGCCAGACUGACGCUGAGGCACGAAAGCGUGGGGAUCGAACAGGAUUAGAUACCCCCGUA